rnacentral:rRNA from 1 species
CCUACGUGUGGCAGCAGUAGGGAAUCUUUCACAAUGGGCGAAAGCCUGAUGGAGCAACGCCGCGUGCAGGAUGAAGGCCUUCGGGUUGUAAACUGCUUUUAUAAGCGAGAAAUAUGAUGGUAACUUAUGAAUAAGGAUCGGCUAACUACGUGCCAGCAACCGCGGUCAUACGUAGGAUCCGAGCAUUAUCCGGAGUGACUGGGUGUAAAGAGUUGCGUAGGUGGCAUAAUAAGUAGCGAGUGAAAGCUGUUGACUAAAACAUUCAGACUAUUAGCUAAACUGUUAAGCGCGAGACCGUUAGAGGUAACUGGAAUUUCUAGUGUAGGGGUGAAAGCCGUAGAUAUUAGAAGGAACACCAAUAGCGUAGGCAGGUUGCUGGGACGGUUCUGACACUAAGGCACGAAAGCGUAGGGAGCAAACGGGAUUAGAUACCCGGGUAGUC